UACGUAGGGGGCUAGCGUUGUCCGGAUUUAUUGGGCGUAAAGAGCGUGUAGGCGGCUUGACAGGUCUGCUGUGAAAACUCGAGGCUCAACCUCGAGAUGUCGGCGGAAACCGUCUGGCUAGAGUCCGGAAGAGGAGAGUGGAAUUCCUGGUGUAGCGGUGAAAUGCGCAGAUAUCAGGAAGAACACCAACGGCGAAGGCAGCUCUCUGGGACGGUACUGACGCUGAGACGCGAAAGCGUGGGGAGCGAACAGG
rnacentral:rRNA from 1 species